GCAGAAUGAGAGCCAAAUGUGUUGUUGCCUUUUGAAAGUCAGCAGCAUCACAAUCAGUUUGCUCCCAGUUGUCAUCAGUCCACUCAAUUUCUAAGAAGCUUAUUGGAGAGAAAAAAAUGAUCCUAAGCCUGUCUUAGAAAUGAAGCACCC